CCAAUAGCGUAUAUUAAAGUUGUUGCAGUUAAAAAGCUCGUAGUUGAAUUUCGGAAUCAAUAUGUUGGUCGUGCCAUUGGUACGUACUGGCAUUAUUGGUUUCUACCUUCUGAAGAACCUCGAUGUCAUUAAUUUGGUGUCUUGGGGAAUCAGGACUGUUACUUUGAAAAAAUUAGAGUGUUUAAAGCAAGCUCGCGCUUGAAUACAUUAGCAUGGAAUAAUGAAAUAGGACGUUUGAUUCUAUUUUGUUGGUUUCUAGGAUUGACGUAAUGAUUAAUAGGGAUAGUUUGGGGCAUUAGUAUUCAAUUGUCAGGGGUGAAAUUCUUGGAUUUAUUGAAGACUAACUACUGCGAAAGCAUUUGCCAAGGAUGUUUUCAUUAAUCAAGAACGAAAGUUAGGGGAUCGAAGACGAUCAGAUACCGUCGUAGUCUUAACCAUAAACUAUGCCGACUAGGGAUCGGAUGAUGUUAAUUUUUUAAUGACUCAUUCGGCGCCUUACG
rnacentral:rRNA from 1 species